AAAAAUACAUUCGGAUAUUCUAUUAAUAAGUAAUAUGUCAUUAUUUCAUAUCUUUAUUUUUUGUACUCCGGUGGUGCUGACCACUUAGAUUAACCCAAAUGUGGUUAACUCGAGUGCGCAAUUUUUGGUAGCGGGGGACUGCGUUCGCGCUUUCCCCCU